AUGGCAGCAGAAGAUGCAGCACAGCCCUCUCCAGCAGCAAGGCAGGACACGGGCAGCAGGACUGCAGCUCCUCUGGCAGCUUUGCAGCUACAUCAGGAAGCAGAAGACGUGGAUUUAACAGAAGAACUCAGUUACUGGGAUGUUCCCCUGUUCUUCCCCUACCUGUCCCCUUGCCUCAGCCCGGAUUCCUCUUGCAUUCUCGUAGGUGUCCCUUCCAUCCCCCAGGGUGCUCCUUGCUUCCCCCAAGCUAACCCUUUACCUUCGCAUAACAGCCCACCCACAAUUUCCUCAGAGCCCCAAUAGCUCCCUCAGUAUUUCCCCAGCAAGACCCUGUAGGCACCCCACAACCCCCCAGAGAGCCCAGAGCCCUUUACUGACCUCCUCAGACCUGGUACUCCUCCCUCAUUGCUGGCCAAAAACCUCACAAACCUCCAUAGUCCCCAGCAGCACCCCAUAUCGCCCACUGGACUACCACUGAACCCCCUUAUUUCCUCCCUCAGACCUCCCUUAACACCUCCAGGGCUCCUUACCAAACUCACAGAAAACCACACUCCCUGACAGCACCCCUGUCACCAAUACCAGGCCCCUCCUCUCCCCCUGCUCCUGCAGGCUCUGUUGUCAUAUCCAUCCCAUGGCCGUAUAUCCCCCACACCCCGCCACAGAGCCCCAUAACUCCUCCAGGAGCUCCUCAGACUUGGUGCACCUCCCCCACAGCCAGCCUGGGACCUCACAGAGCCCCAUAGUCCCCAGCAGCACCCCUUAUCCCUGCUCUGGGCUCCCCUAGAUCCCCCCUAUUUCCUCCUUUGGACCUCCCUAACCCCCCUUGGGUCAUCCCUUGGAUCUCGCAGGCCCCCACAGUCCCUGGCAGGACCCCCGUCACAAGUCCAGGACCCCAGUAGCCCACCUGGUGCUGCUGAACCCAGCAUCCUCAGUGAGCUGUGCCACAGUGCGGCACACUGAGCCCUUCUGCAUUGCUGCAGAACGGAACACAUGCAGAUCCCAGGUCAGUGGACACUGCUCUGCAGGUCACUGCCUGGCCCAGGAACUCCUCCCCUGUGCUGUCUGUGAAAGUCUUUUCUUUGCUCCUGGCACAUCUUCCAUCUCCAGAGCACAUGAGAUCCGAAACACUCUG
rnacentral:lncRNA from 1 species